rnacentral:rRNA from 1 species
AUACGGAGGGUGCAAGCGUUACACGGAAUCACUGGGCGUAAAGCGCGCGCAGGCGGUCUUUUAAGUUGGAUGUGAAAGCCUACGGCUCAACCGUAGAACUGCAUCCAAAACUAUUAGACUAGAGUGUGGGAGAGGAAGAUGGAAUUAGUUGUGUAGGGGUAAAAUCCGUAGAGAUAACUAGGAAUACCAAAAGCGAAGGCAAUCUUCUGGAACACUACUGACGCUGAGGCGCGAAAGCGUGGGGAGCAAACAGGAUUAGAAACCCGGGUAGUCC